CCAUUUUCGAUUUUUAUCGACUGAGAAUGUUAUCCGCAAUGAAAAUCUAAAAUAUGGAAAGUGUUUGGAUUUCUGGAAUAACAUCACAUCCUUUUCUAAGCGAAAUAUUCUCUCGGCGUAAAAAAAUUAUUUAAAAAAAUCAAAAUUCAUUUCACGGUCCUAAGAUUUAUCUUAAAAUCAACGGUAAAACGAAGAUCCAUCUGUCUCACAUAGCGGAAGCUAUGAAAGAAUUCUGUUUUAAAUCUGCAAGUAUAAUACAGUAAAUCGAUCUGGUCAUGCAUAUUUUUGGUUUCUGGGUCAAGUGGAGUUUUAAACCGAAAAGAAUGUUUUCUGUGACUGAAAGACAAAAAAUAUCACGUCUCCAAGCAACGAUUCAAGUGUAAUAUUUUGUAUGGAGGUUCAAGUUGCGGUCUAAAAAUACACGGCGAUUGUCGAGAUAAAUGCUAUUUUCCUAGGAAAACAGACCACAAAACAAAUCAAUUUGAAUUUAAAAGGUAAUUCCCUACUGAUGGGGUAAGGGGAUUGUUCACGGCAAAAGUCUGUGAUUGGCCAGAGAUAUUUCUAUCCUAUUAGUGCACUCGUUUUUUUUGGCUACGAUGGAAAUGUAGUCGCCUUCGGGCCUCGGGGCAGGCAUUUUAUCAAUCCGGCCAUACGUCUUUUUACCCUCGCGGGGUUUAAGGGGAGCUGAAGUCAUUCCAUGAAGUAUUUUAGAAAAGACAAUAAACUCUUAUAAAUUCAAUCCAGUUAAGAAGCUCCAAGCUAUCAGAGUCAGAGCUUCCCCCUCCGGACCGCGGACGUGUUACCAAAAAUAGCCGUUCAAGCCAAAAACUCAUAAUAGGAAACUCCCGAGUUUCUGUUCAAGCCUAUUUGUUGGCCUCAAGUUAUGUUGGCGUGUGGCCUAGAGAAAUUGGAUAGGAUACCUGAUGCGAAUGCACUCGAACUUCAAAUCCCUUGAUGACUGCCAGCGAUAUGGACUUUUAUAUCAUUCGAACGAAGCUGGAGCGGUUGGAGAUGUCUGGCAAAAGGCGUUUGACAUUGUCGAGUUAAAGGUAACUUUAUCCAGAUCUAUGGUAGAUGUCAUGCAGGGUUAGAUUAAAUCUGAUAAACUCUGCUGCUGACGUGACGUCCUCUUAACUUUUCCACGCGGUAAAUAAUCGUCGAUAAUUAACUAUAUCAACACUUGGAACAUUUGCUUUUGCAAGGUCACGAUAGUUAAAUACAACUGUCUAGUAUUUCUUGUUUUAAAAAAAUUCAUUAAAAAUUCCCAGAGCUUUCCAA